rnacentral:lncRNA from 1 species
AUUCAUUCCAUUUCUGAGAUGACUGAGCAGUCUGGGAAAAGAAAAAGAGAAGAGGGAGUGUUGCAGAUGGACAUCUAGUGAUGGAACUCGAACCUCAGGGCUUCAGCACCUUGGGGCAUCCUUCAAGUGCUUAAACAGGAAUCCCUCUCUUCCCUUUUUCUCAAAUAAAACACUGGUGAUCUGGACCUGUUUCUUCCUUGUAUUUCUGUGCCUUUGUAUCUCUGGGCCUGGCAGAAAGGUCUUGCAAUGAUACCUGGGGCUUCAUCUCUGAGCCACUGCUUGCCAGUUUGGAGCAGGAUCCAUAUCUCUGCUGUUCUGGGAGAAGUGGGCUGUUCUUGGAGGAAGGCAUGUGAGUUCUUAUAUUUGAUGUACCAGAGGCAGAGAGCUGUUCUCGCAGCCUCUGAGCAAGGAUCAGAGAUGUCCCAGUGUAGCAUGGUAACAUGGUGUUUGUCUAUCUGGUUGCAGGGCUAAAGCGAAGUCAAGAAGUGUGCAUGUGCAUGGCUGGGGCAGGAGAUGGAUCUCUGCAAAAGUCUUUCCCAGAACUCAGACUCUGGAGGUGUUGAGCAUUGUAGUCUUGGACAGAAGAGAGUGACCAUCUGCAGUGAGUUCCUACUCACCUCCUACUGCAUCAGGGGUUUCCCUGGUAGCUUCUCUCUGCAGCCUGAACUAACAGCUUGGGCUGCGUAGCCAAAAGCUGAAUUUGCUUUGUAUCCUCUGAUGAGCACAAGAGAUGAUUCUGGCUUGUUACAUUUGUAAAAGUAGUUCAGCUGCAACAUGAAGGGCAGGAAACCCAACCCACAUGAUCUGGAAACUUCACACUGUCUGUUUCACUGCAGCCUUGCAGGAGCCACUCACCUCCAUGUUGUUACCGAGCCAACAGGCCACCUCCUCGGCCAGGAGAAUUACCCCCAAAGGCUCCAGCAGCUCCAAGAAAGACCUCACCCAAACUGCCCACCCAACAACCAGCGCGUUGAGAGACAGAUUAUUUGGGAAUCCUCUGCCUUCCCACAAUGCCCUCUGUAGGCUCCAGAGGAACAGAGCAGGAGGUUCCCAGUGCGUGGGGAGCAGAGCUGGGGCUGCGUGAUCCCAUCGGUGCCAGGUGCCCAGGGCAGAUCCACAGUGACGAGGUAAGCUCCGAGGUGCCGUCAGCAUGCUUCCUGUCUCAGACAGGGGUGCUUUCGUGCUGACAAUGCUUUUAAUUAUUUGUUGGAAGAUUUUGAGAGCACCUAAGGUAACAGAGAGGCCUCAAUCAGUGUUUCCUAGCUGAAGGCAUCUGUGUGCCUUGCCUUAGUCAUAGGUGAGUCUUGCAUCAAGAGCGAGGCCAGUGCCAGGCACCUGGGUGGGUCCUUGUGGGCUCUGAUAGUGGGUCUCAGUGUCUGCAGCUCCAUGUGUUGGGGUUUGCACCAAGAGCUGUGGAGUCUGCAGGGAAGUGGCUUUUUCUCCUAAAUCAUGGCAUUACCACAGCGUGGUGUGCUUCGCCUUGUGGGGAACGUGUGAAAUCUGCUUUGUGGUAGCAGCGGUGCAGCUCUGAAAGAAGAGACUUUGGCUCGCCAAGCAGAGCCACGCACUGCAGCUCUGUGCUGGGCUUUUCGACCUGCACAAUGCAAUCACUGAUGCUCAAGAGCCAUUCAAUGUCAGUACUUGACCUGGGGUUGAGUCUCCGCUGUUUCUAUUUCCCUGCAAGAAAAUAUCAGCAGAUGCCUCUGACAAACCAAACCAGUGCUUCCAAGCGGGAAAAAAUUCAAAAGAAACAGAUUCACUUCCCUGCAUGACCUCAGUCCUGCUCUCAUUUGGGCAAACUGUGUAAGGAGCUAGUCCAGUUUUUUUUCGUAUUCUGAGAACGCAUCACGUGGUGCAGUGUGUUACACCGCAAGGCAAAUACAGCAGUGCAGGGCAGAUGUUGCCACAUCACUGGAGAAGCAGAGCAGCUGAGAACUGGCACCAGGACAAACACAGUGCUGACAUCUCGGCCCAGCACUGUCCCCUGUUCCCUGCAGCUGCCGUCCCUCUGCUGCCCCAUCUCCAGCCCUCCUGUGUCCUCACAUCCUCUGCAAGAGACUUGGGGCACUGAUAUUUCUCCAGCCUUAGUGACCACUGCUGACCACUGCAGAAGGACAGUUCCACUUCUCUUUGACAUCUGGGGAUGCUGCAUGGGGAAGAGAUGGAGAAGCUCUCAUUAGGUGGCACAGAUUGCACAUGGGCAGCGCUGAUGAGCUCCACAUCUCUUUGCUCGCGCCCACCCUGCAAAUGCACUGAGUGAUUUCUUAUGUUUUAAGCUGUGUAAUUGCUAGGGAAAAUCCUUUUCUAUGUCUUUUCCUUUAUUGUCAUGUUUAAGAAGUUCUUUUGUAUGUCAUAACAUUUUGUCUGUUUUUACUGAAACGGUUCCACGAAGGAACGAUUGUUUGCACAAACAGACUGACAUGUUGAUACAGGCUGACAACUGCACAGCUAAGACCAAAAUAAAAUGUAAAGUAAACACA